AUCCAGAGGACGAGUCUCAAAUAGGACGAAAUGCGCGUUAUCCAGGAU
rnacentral:hammerhead_ribozyme from 1 species